AGUGAACGCUGGCGGUAGGCCUAACACAUGCAAGUCGAACGGCAGCACAGAGGAGCUUGCUCCUUGGGUGGCGAGUGGCGGACGGGUGAGGAAUACAUCGGAAUCUACUCUGUCGUGGGGGAUAACGUAGGGAAACUUACGCUAAUACCGCAUACGACCUACGGGUGAAAGCAGGGGAUCUUCGGACCUUGCGCGAUUGAAUGAGCCGAUGUCGGAUUAGCUAGUUGGCGGGGUAAAGGCCCACCAAGGCGACGAUCCGUAGCUGGUCUGAGAGGAUGAUCAGCCACACUGGAACUGAGACACGGUCCAAACUCCUACGGGAGGCAGCAGUGGGGAAUAUUGGACAAUGGGCGCAAGCCUGAUCCAGUCAUACCGCGUGGGUGAAGAAGGCCUUCGGGUUGUAAAGCCCUUUUGUUGGGAAAGAAAUCCAUCUGGUUAAUACCCGGGUGGGAUGACGGUACCCAAAGAAUAAGCACCGGCUAACUACGUGCCAGCCGCCGCAGUAA
rnacentral:rRNA from 1 species